rnacentral:lncRNA from 1 species
UUGUGCGGAAUUUUCAAAUGGGAAUAACAACAACAGCAAUGAAAGUGAAAAGAACAAACAAGAAGAGGAUCAAGAAAUGUAUCCUGACGAAAUCCAUCAGCAGCAAAUUAUUAAGAGCUUAGAAGAAAAUAAAUGUAGAGUAGUAUUUGGAGAGUUAGAAGCCAUUUAUGCUACAAAUGCUGAGACUAAUACUACUGCUACUACUAAUAUUCAUCGAAUGGCAUCUGAAUCUGUUCUCACUGCUGAAGAUUUACCAAUUAAUAAUAACAAUAAUGUCUCUUUUCCUGUGGCAACUUUCAACGAUUCUAAUCAAACUAGUGGGCCCACUGCCAUUGCUACAACAACUCCUGCUGCAAUUGAUAUUGGAUCAGAAAGUACAUCCGUUGGAGAAGCAACAAGGGAAGAUGAAGUCCAUAACAGUGGGCCCACAGCCAUUGCCACAACAACUGCUGCUGCAAUUGAUAUUGGAUCAGAAAGUGCAUCCGUUGGAAAAGCAACAAGGGAAGACGAAGUUCAUAAUAGAAGGAAGAGAAGGAGAAGAGCAAAGGAAGGAACAAGUAUUACAAUGGCAAGAUUUUUCGAAUCCUUAGUAAAGAAACUCGUGAACCAUCAAGAAGAUCUUCAAAAGAAGUUUAUGGAAACAAUUGAGCGAUUGGAUCAAGAAAGAAAAGAGAGAGAAGAAACUUGGAGGGAGCAAGAAUUAGCAAAGCUUGAAAAAGAAGCAGCUAUUAGAGCUCAAGAAAGAACAUUGGCUUCAAAUAGAGAAGCUGCUCUUGUUUCUUACUUAGAAAAACUCACUGGUCAAAAGAUCAAUUUUCAAAAAGAAUCAGAACCAGAUAAGAGUUGUAAUAGCUUGGUAAAGUUGAAUAAUAAGAGAUGGCCACAAGCUGAAGUUGAGCAUGGAUCAGAACCAGAUAAGAGUUGUAAUAGCUUGGUAAAGUUGAAUAACAAGAGAUGGCCACAAGCUGAAGUUGAGGCUUUAAUUCAGAUUAGAAAUAGCUUGGAAUCUAAGUUCCAAGAGGCUGCAGGUCCAAAAGGGGUACUUUGGGAAGAGAUAAGUAACUCAAUGGCUUCAAUGGGAUUUCAGAGAAGUGCCAGAAGAUGUAAAGAGAAAUGGGAGAAUUUGCAUAAAUGUAGUACGGUCAAGAGAACAAAAGAAAUCACGAGGGAACAGUUAAAUGAUGGAAAUAAUAGUAUUGACUUUGUAAUUCAAGGAAAUGAUACUGUUGAUGAUCAUUUGGGUACUGUCAACCUAACUGAAGGAAACAAAGGGAAUAGUGAAAAAGAUAAACAUGGAAAUGGUGAGAACAAGAAUGGAAAUUGGAAAGAAGAAAUGGAAGAAAUAAAAGAAGGUGAUAUAUGAAUUAAGGAUUCAUUUCUUCAGAAUCCAGACAAAUGAGACAGCCAAGCUAAGAACAUUACUGGUUCCUUUCAGGUGUCGGCUUUUUUGCUCUUUAAUUUUUGAUCAUUUCUUUUUAUCAGUUCUGGGUAUUUAUUUGUUCAUCCUGUCAUUUCUUUUUCUUCCAACACUGAAAUGAGUUUCCUUUUUAGAUGUCGUUUCUUAUAUUUUAGUGUAACUAUUGGUUUGAAAUUUGAAGAGUAUUCUAUAGGCCAUACAUUGCUAAUAUUUUGUUGUUGGUAUCACUUGUGUCUUUAGCCGAUGAUCUAUCCAAAACACAUUUUUUUUCUCCUAUAGUUAGAAUAAGGUCUGCGUACAUAUUAUCCUUUUCAUACUCACUCACUAGGUUUGUUGUUCUUGUUGAUUUUGUAGGCCAUACCAACAAAACUUUGUCCC